GUAUUAUGGUACAGAGUCAAUGUGGAGGCUAUAUACAGGGUAUUACGGUACAGAGUCAAUGUGGAGGCUAUAUACAGGGGGUACCAGUACAGAGUCAAUGUGGAGGCUAUAUACAGGGGGUACCAGUACAGAGUCAAUGUGGAGGCUAUAUACAGGGGGUAACGGUACAGAGUCAAUGUGGGGACUAUAUACAGGGGGGUACCGGUACAGAGUCAAUGUGGAGACUACAGUAUCAUGCCAGGUUUCAUGUGGACCCCAGGAAGAGUAGCUGACGCUUUGGCAGCGGCCAAUGGGGAUCCUAAUAAAUACCAAAAUACCAAUCAGAUGAGGGAGUGUCAUGACAGUCACAAUGUCACGACUUCUGCCGAAGUUGGUCCCUCUCCUUGUUCGGGCGGCGUUCGGCGGUCGACGCCAUCGGUCUUCUAGCCAUCGCCGCUCCACCUUUCAUUUUCCAUUUGUUUUGUCUUGUUUCCCCGCACUCCUGGUUCGCAUUCCCCCAUCAGACUAAAUGUAUAUUACCCUCUGUUUCCCCCAUGUCUGUGUGUGGAAUUGUUCUUUGUGCAGGGUGUUAUGCUACAGGCUGUCUUGC
ensembl:lncRNA